GUACGAUCAUCUCCAGGUCCAUCCAUAUUGCUGCAGUGUUUCAUUCUUUUUUGUGGCUGAGUGAUGUUCUGUUGCAGGCUUCCCAGGUGGUGCUAGUGGAAAAGAACCCACCUGCCAGCGCAGGAGAUGCAGGAGAUGCAGGUUCGAUCCCUGGGUCAGGAAGAUCCCCUGGAGGAUGGCACGGCAACUGACUCCAAUACCUGGAGAAUCCCACGGACAGAGGAACCUAGGAGCACUUGAGGCACAGGGUUUGCGGCAAAGUUAAUUAUCACCUAGAUAUGAAGACUGAAGAUGCCAAGACUGUAAACAGAAGUCAGAAAUUAUGGCUCCAGGCCUCCUAUUCUCUGCUGAUUUACUCAGUUGUCAUCUUCCUUUUGCCACCCAUUGCCCUACUUCUUCAAUAAAAUGAGCUCUUGCCUAAAAAGAGUUUAUCAUUUACAUUUACUGGCCUGGGAGUUUCCCCCCACCCCAGACCUCUGUUAAAUAAGGACAUCC
ensembl:lncRNA